AUUAAGCCAUGCAUGUCCAAGUAUAAACGACGAUACACAGUGAAACUGCGAAAGGCUCAUUACACCAGUUAUAAUUUACUUGAGAGAGACGACCGUGGAUAACCGUGGUAAUUCUAUGGCUAAUACAUGUGGAGAUCACACAGUAUAUAUACAUAUACAGUGUGAUGCAUUUAUUAGAUUACAACCAACUACACGUUGAAUCAUGGUAACUGUGCAGAUCGUUGGAACUCUCAACGACAGCUCAUGCAAAUUUCUGCCCUAUCAACUGACGAUGGUAGGAUAGAGGCCUACCAUGGUGGUGACGGGUGACGGGGAAUUAGGGUUCGGUUCCGGAGAGGGAGCCUGAGAAAUGGCUACCACUUCCAAGGAAGGCAGCAGGCGCGCAAAUUACCCAAUCCUGACACAGGGAGGUAGUGACAGUAAAUAGCGGGGGGAGGGCAUGUGCCGUCCCGACUGCAAUGGGGUGGGUGUAAAGAGUCCACCGAGUAGCGAUUGGAGGGCAAGUCUGGUGCCAGCAGCCGCGGUAAUUCCAGCUCCAAUAGCGUAUAUUAAAGUUGUUGCAGUUAAAACGCUCGUAGUCGGGGAGAUUUGCAGAGUGUCGGGGUAUUGUGAAAUACUCUGGCACUCUGCAGAAUAUGUGGGUAGGUGUUAGGCAGUAUCAACAUGAUUGCUGAUACAGGUCGAUGCCAACCCACACGCUACUUUGAAGAAAUUAGAGUGUUCAAAGCAAGUCGUAUGGCUCUGAAUAUGUUAGCAUGGAAUGGCAUGAUGGUGAUGUCCAUAUCUUGUUGGUGGUGAGGACAAUCACCCUAUCCAUAGGGACAGUCGGGGGCAUUUGUAUUCUGCAGUCAGAGGUGAAAUUCUUGGAUUUGCAGAGGACAAGCAAACGCGAAGGCAUCUGCCAAGGAUGUUUUCGUUGAUCAAGAACGAAAGUUAGGGGAUCGAAGACGAUUAGAUACCGUCGUAGUCUUAACCGUAAACGAUGACAACCAGCGAUUAAUCGGCGUUAAUAUAUGACCCGAUUAGCAGCUUCCGGGAAACCAAAGUUUUUCGUUUCCGGGGGAAGUAUGGUUGCAAAGCUGAAACUUAAGGGAAUUGACGGAAGGGCACCACCAGGAGUGGAGCCUGCGGCUUAAUUUGACUCAACACGGGAAAACUCACCCGGCCCGGACACCGUAAGGAUUGACAGACUGAGAGCUCUUUCUUAAUUCGGUGGGUGGUGGUGCAUGGCCGUUCUUAGUUGGUGGAGCGAUUUGUCUGGUUAAUUCCGAUAACGAACGAGACUCUGGCCUAUUAAAUAGACGAUAUAUUUAUUCGUAUAUCGCGCUUCUUAGAGGGACAAGCGGCGUCUAGCCGCAUGAAAUAGAGCAAUAACAGGUCUGUGAUGCCCUUAGAUGUCCGGGGCUGCACGCGCGCUACACUGAAAGAAUCAGAGUGCGUUAUACCUAGUUCGGAAGAACCGGGUAACCCAAGUAAAUUCUUUCGUGCUUGGGAUAGGGAAUUGCAAUUAUUUCCCUUAAACGAGGAAUUCCCAGUAAAUGCGGGUCAUAAGCUCGCGUUGAUUACGUCCCUGCCCUUUGUACACACCGCCCGUCGCUACUACCGAUUGGAUGACUUAGUGAGGUCUUAGGACCGAGACAAAGGUGCCUGUCAUGGGUGCUUUUGCUUUGGAAAUUUGAUCGAACUACGUUAUCUAGAGGAAGUAAAA
rnacentral:rRNA from 1 species